UGAGGAAUAUUGCGCAAUGGGGGCAACCCUGACGCAGUGACGCCGCGUGAGUGAUGAAGGCUUUCGAGUCGUAAAGCUCUGUUGGGUGGAAAGAAACAUUCCGGCGCUAAUAUCGCCGGGACUUGACGGUACCACCAGAGGAAGCACCGGCUAACUCCGUGCCAGCAGCCGCGGUAAUACGGAGGGUGCAAGCGUUGUUCGGAUUUACUGGGCGUAAAGGGCGUGUAGGCGGUUGGCUAAGUCAGAUGUGAAAUCCCUUGGCUUAACUAAGGAACGGCAUUUGAAACUAGCUAACUAGAGUACAGGAGAGGAAAGUGGAAUUCCCAGUGUAGAGGUGAAAUUCAUAGAUAUUGGGAGGAACACCGGUAGCGAAGGCGGCUUUCUGGCCUGAUACUGACGCUGAGACGCGAAAGCGUGGGUAGCAAACAGG
rnacentral:rRNA from 1 species